AGAGUUUGAUCCUGGCUCAGGAUGAACGCUGGCGGCGUGCUUAACACAUGCAAGUCGAACGGAGUACCCCUGAAGGAGUUUUCGGACAACUGAUGGGACUACUUAGUGGCGGACGGGUGAGUAACGCGUGAGUAACCUGCCUUGGAGUGGGGAAUAACAGCUGGAAACAGCUGCUAAUACCGCAUAAUAUGUCUGUGUCGCAUGGCAGUGGAUAUCAAAGAUUUAUCGCUCUGAGAUGGACUCGCGUCUGAUUAGCUAGUUGGCGGGGUAACGGCCCACCAAGGCGACGAUCAGUAGCCGGACUGAGAGGUUGGCCGGCCACAUUGGGACUGAGACACGGCCCAGAUUCCUACGGGAGGCAGCAGUGGGGAAUAUUGGGCAAUGGGCGCAAGCCUGACCCAGCAACGCCGCGUGAGUGAUGAAGUAUUUCGGUAUGUAAAGCUCUAUCAGCAGGGAAGAUAAUGACGGUACCUGACUAAGAAGCUCCGGCUAAAUACGUGCCAGCAGCCGCGGUAAUACGUAUAGAGCAAGCGUUAUCCGGAUUUACUGGGUGUAAAGGGAGCGCAGACGGCAGGGCAAGUCUGAUGUGAAAGUCCGGGGCUCAACCCCGGGACUGCAUUGGAAACUGUCCGGCUAGAGUGCAGGAGAGGUAAGUGGAAUUCCUAGUGUAGCGGUGAAAUGCGUAGAUAUUAGGAGGAACACCAGUGGCGAAGGCGGCUUACUGGACUGUAACUGACGUUGAGGCUCGAAAGCGUGGGAGCAAACAGGAUUAGAUACCCUGGUAGUCCACGCUGUAAACGAUGAUUACUAGGUGUGGGGGGACUGACCCCUUCCGUGCCGCAGUUAACACAAUAAGUAAUCCACCUGGGGAGUACGGCCGCAAGGUUGAAACUCAAAGGAAUUGACGGGGGCCCGCACAAGCGGUGGAGCAUGUGGUUUAAUUCGAAGCUACGCGGAGAACCUUACCAGGUCUUGACAUCUUGCGCUAACCUUAGAGAUAAGGCGUUCCCUUCGGGGACGCAAUGACAGGUGGUGCAUGGUCGUCGUCAGCUCGUGUCGUGAGAUGUUGGGUUAAGUCCCGCAACGAGCGCAACCCCUGUCCACAGUAGCCAGCGCCACGGGCGGGCACUCUGUGGAGACUGCCGGGGACAACCCGGAGGAAGGCGGGGACGACGUCAAAUCAUCAUGCCCCUUAUGGCCUGGGCUACACACGUGCUACAAUGGCGCAGACAGAGGGAUGCGAUGCCGCGAGGCGGAGCGGACCCCAGAAAUGGCGCCCCAGUUCGGACUGCAGCCUGCAACCCGGCUGCACGAAGCCGGAAUCGCUAGUAAUCGUGGAUCAGAAUGCCGCGGUGAAUACGUUCCCGGGUCUUGCACACACCGCCCGUCA
rnacentral:rRNA from 1 species